CCUACGGGAGGCUGCAGUGAGGAAUAUUGGUCAAUGGGCGAGAGCCUGAACCAGCAAUGCCGCGUGAAGGAAGAAGGCCCUCGGGUUGUAAACUUCUUUUAUCCGGGACGAAGGAUGUGAAGGUACCUGAUGAAUAAGCUCCGGCUAACUACGUGCUAGCAGCCGCGGUAAUACGGAGGGAGGAAGCGUUAUCCGGAUUGACUGGGGGUAAAGGGGGCGUGGGCGGGAUGGCAAGUCAGAUGUGAAAUCCGGGGGCUCAACCCCUGAACUGCCGUUGAAACUGUCGUUCUUGAGUACUGGAGAGGUUGACGGAAUGCGUAGUGUAGCGGUGAAAUGCGUAGAUAUUAGGAAGAACACCAGUGGCGAAGGCAGUCAACUGGACAGCAACUGACGCUGAGGCGCGAAAGCGUGGGUAGCAAACAGGAUUAGAUACCCUAGUAGUC
rnacentral:rRNA from 1 species